rnacentral:rRNA from 1 species
GUGCCAGCCGCCGCGGUAAUACCGGCAGCUCAAGUGAUGUCCCAUAUUAUUGGGCCUAAAGCGUCCGUAGCUGGCCGACCAAGUCUCCCGGGAAAUCCACCCGCCCAACGGGUGGGCGUCCGGUAGAAACUGGCCGGCUUGGAACCGGAAGGCUCAGAGAGUACGUCCGGGGUAGGAGUGAAAUCCUGUAAUCCUGGACGGACCGCCGGUGGCGAAAGCGCCUCGGGAAGACGGACCCGACAGUGAGGGACGAAAGCUGGGAUCUCGAACCGGAUUAGAAACCCGAGUAGUCC